rnacentral:rRNA from 1 species
UACGUAGGGGGCAAGCGUUGUCCGGAAUUAUUGGGCGUAAAGCGCGCGCAGGCGGUCAUUUAAGUUUGGUGUUUAAUCCCGGAGCUCAACUCCGGGUCGCACUGAAAACUGGGUGACUUGAGUACAGAAGAGGAGAGUGGAAUUCCACGUGUAGCGGUGAAAUGCGUAGAUAUGUGGAGGAACACCAGUGGCGAAGGCGACUCUCUGGGCUGUAAACUGACGCUGGAGGCGCGAAAGCGUGGGGAGCAAACAGG